rnacentral:rRNA from 1 species
UACAAAGGGGGCUAGCGUUGCUCGGAAUCACUGGGCGUAAAGGGUGCGUAGGCGGGUCUUUAAGUCAGGGGUGAAAUCCUGGAGCUCAACUCCAGAACUGCCUUUGAUACUGAAGAUCUUGAGUUCGGGAGAGGUGAGUGGAACUGCGAGUGUAGAGGUGAAAUUCGUAGAUAUUCGCAAGAACACCAGUGGCGAAGGCGGCUCACUGGCCCGAUACUGACGCUGAGGCGCGAAAGCGUGGGGAGCAAACAGG